GAUGAACGCUGGCGGCGUGCCUAAUACAUGCAAGUCGAGCGAACAGACGAGGAGCUUGCUCCUCUGACGUUAGCGGCGGACGGGUGAGUAACACGUGGAUGACCUACCUAUAAGACUGGGAUGACUUCGUGAAACCGGAGCUAAUACCGGGUAAUAUAUUGAACCGCAUGGUUCAAUAGUGAAAGACGGGUUUGCUGUCACUUAUAGAUGGAUCCGCGCCGCAUUAGCUAGUUGGUAAGGUAACGGCUUACCAAGGCAACGAUGCGUAGCCGACCUGAGAGGGUGAUCGGCCACACUGGAACUGAGACACGGUCCAGACUCCUACGGGAGGCAGCAGUAGGGAAUCUUCCGCAAUGGGCGAAAGCCUGACGGAGCAACGCCGCGUGAGUGAUGAAGGUCUUCGGAUCGUAAAGCUCUGUUAUUAGGGAAGAACAAAUGUGUAAUUAACUAUGCACGUCUUGACGGUACCUAAUGAGAAAGCCCCGGCUAACUACGUG
rnacentral:rRNA from 1 species